ensembl:lncRNA
GGAUGUGGGUGAGGGGGACUCAGGGUUUCACCGGCUCCUGGUUCCUCCGGUGGUCUGCACCAGUCCUCCCUGGUCCCUGUUGACCCACUGUCCUGUUGCCGGUUCUGACUCUGAUCCAGAUGGUCAUCCGUUGUCCACUGAAGACACGGUGGAGCCUUUCAGCCCUGCAGAGAUCCCCCCAGAACCCUCAUUAAAGAACAAGUCAGAACCCCAGUCUCUGCCCCCUCCAGUACCCCUGUCAGAACCCUCGUCAGGACCCCAGUCUCUGUCUCCAUCAGAACCCCUGUCAGAACCCCUGUCAGAAUGUCAGUCAGAGCUGAUGUCUGUUGAAACUGGGAGGGAACUGCCACUGGAGGGCAACGAGAGACAGGGAGUGAGACAGCCAGAGAGAAAGGCCCUGAGACAGGGAGUGAGACAGGGAGUGAGACAGCCAGAGAGAAAGGCCCUGAGACAGGGAGUGAGACAAUCUGAGCUCAGAGGGUCUGGUGUCUGUGGCCUCAGAGCUGAAUAUGAGGAGGGUGUGUUUGUGUCAGAGGUGACAGACAUGCAGGACAGGACGCUCUCUCCAGAGGCUGUAACCCCCAGGGUUGCAGGCUGUAACCCUGGGGAAGAUGGGGAGGAGAUGGACCCCAAAGAGGUCCUACUGAGACUGAGCAGAGACCCCCCUGGCAGCACAGCAGAAGAGGAAUUCUGUCAUUCCAGGGCAGUGGUGUCCAUAGUUCAGGGUGGUGGUCCAGCUGACAGUCCGGUGUCGGAGAAGGAGCCGGAGAACCUGGGGUCUAGCGGUACCGUGUGGGAGGAAGAACCUGACCCAGUCUGUCCUGAUGUUCAACAUUUCCAUCCCCUUCAAGACCUCAGCGUCCUAGCCGCAGCAGAGGUCAUGGUGGACCACCAGGGAGAUGCUGAUUCCUCCAUGAUCCAACGAGAGACAGAGGCUGUCUUCCCAGAGUCUUGCAGUCCUCUGACCCACACACAGAUCCACUCCUCCCCUGACAACAGGGAGACAGAGGCCGUCUUCACAGACUGUCAGGGAACUGGCACCAGCUCAACCCUCCACCGCGCGUCGGGCAGCGACUCAGAGAGUUUCUUAAGUACAGGAGAGGACAGCGUCUUUGGCAAGGGCGAUGACACGGUGACUGGGGACAGCACCAGUGAGCUGUCAGUGUCCCGCUCCUCCGCAGAGGACACGGCCAGCGGUGACCCCACCAGUUCCAGCCCGGAGAGCUGUCUGAGGAGGCGGGGCCAGGGGAGGCGG